rnacentral:rRNA from 1 species
AUCAAUAAGCGGAGGAAAAGAAACCAACAGGGAUUGCCUCAGUAACGGCGAGUGAAGCGGCAAAAGCUCAAAUUUGAAAUCCNUCGGGAAUUGUAAUUUGAAGAGAUUUGGGUCCGGCCGGCGGGGGUUAAGUCCACUGGAAAGUGGCGCCACAGAGGGUGACAGCCCCGUGAGCCCCUUUAACGCCNUCAUCCCAGGUCUCCAAGAGUCGAGUUGUUUGGGAAUGCAGCUCUAAGUGGGUGGUAAAUUCCAUCUAAAGCUAAAUACCGGCGAGAGACCGAUAGCGAACAAGUACAGUGAUGGAAAGAUGAAAAGCACUUUGAAAAGAGAGUGAAAAAGUACGUGAAAUUGUUGAAAGGGAAGGGCUUGCAAGCAGACACUUAACUGGGCCAGCAUCGGGGCGGCGGGNANCAAAACCACCGGGGAAUGUACCUUUC